AAAAAUAUUUGGCUGCAGUCUGGGUAUGUAGUCAAGUCUUUGCCCCUAUUCCAUGGAGGGAAGAAUAUCAAAUCUGCCAUUGCAUUCUUUAGGUUGUGAAAUGGGUCGGAUGUGAGAAAGUGAUGGUUGAUUUUGUAGGAUGCUAAUAGGAUAACCUGCUAUCUCUGGUCUAAGCUGAAGGAAUCUGCUUGGGUCAUUGUUACUGACCCGGCCAAGCUUAUUAAAUUUUCAACGUUGGCCCUAGUCAUGACUCCCGACCAACUGCAGAUUGAUAUGACUUGCCCCCAAUUCCCUUGCACUUUUAGUAUAACUGUGCAUACUGUAGAUCAAGCAUGUAUAUUGGGAAAAUAAUAAUGCCUUGUGAUUUGUUGUAUUGACAGUCAAGAUUAUGCUGCAAAUAUCCCAAUAGAAUCAUGGUUGUUCUUUUUCACAUUUUUCUAUAUUCCAAGUAUAACCUUGUAUGUUUAGGCAUGAAUUUAUGUUGGUAUAUUCUACCAGCUGAUGCCUAUUAUGAAUGUGCUAUCUUGUCUCUGUAACUGCAGGGAAAA
rnacentral:misc_RNA from 1 species